rnacentral:lncRNA from 1 species
AGGGAUGUUUUGUCUUGUGGAAAGCUCUGCUAGCAUCCAAAGAUGGACAUUUGUAGAAAUAAGUCACGAGAAGAUGCAAGGAUGAUGUGGGAGAAAAACUCUGACCCCAACCUGGAGAAUAAUCUAAGCAGCAGAGUAGGAAGCCAACACUGAGGGGAACAAGAGAACAAUCUGUGGAGAGAAGAGCUGGGUAAUGAGAACGCAGGAACAGGAAACCCCAGGAUUCCACAGAAAUCCACCUGCCUAAGAGCUUACUUCAGCCCGCUUCUCUUGCUUAUUCUUCAACUCAGGAAUAUUUGGUUUUUCAGUUACUAUGGAGGCAUGAAAAAAAGUGAACAUCCUGAUACAAAAUAAAAAAUAACUUACUUAAAU